rnacentral:rRNA from 1 species
UACGAAGGGGGCUAGCGUUGUUCGGAAUCACUGGGCGUAAAGCGCACGUAGGCGGAUUGUUAAGUCGGGGGUGAAAUCCUGAGGCUCAACCUCAGAACUGCCUUCGAUACUGGCAAUCUCGAGUCCGGAAGAGGUUGGUGGAACAGCUAGUGUAGAGGUGAAAUGCGCAGAUAUCAGGAGGAACACCGAUGGCGAAGGCAGUGGUCUGGGCCGGAACUGACGCUGAAUAGCGAAAGCGUGGGUAGCGAACAGG